ACAGUAGCAGGGCAAUAACUGCAAGAGAACACUCAUAGACAGAUUGUACUUGCAUUGAGUUACAAUAAAACACAUUAAAGAAAAAUGAUAGCAAGAAUGCUGAUGAAAAGACAAAAGAUUAAAGGCAACAGUAGUAAUCUAAUAUGCAUUAGGAAAAAAUCAAAGGCAACUGUUUAUACAGAACACGGUUACCUCAAAAACAAAAACCGUCGGAUGAGUCGCUCAUAAAGCUAGCAAGAAAGCACAAUAAGAAAUAAAUUGAUGUUCCCUGAUACUAUUUCUGGUAACUAAACAAACCAUCAUCUGAAUUAUAGAACAUACAUAUCAAGCAUCUUCAGAAAUCACAUCUAAAUAGUAUCCAGGAGGCAGAACUAUCAAUCUUCAUUCUUGAAUAGAAGAACCUCUUUUAUUGCAUUCACUUGUGUAAUACCAUGACACAGUCAUCCUAACUUCCAUAACCAGGUAUUAAUGCAAGUCAACAGGUCGACUAUUGAAUACUCCUAUGUUUAAGACAAAAUGAUAUCAGAUUUCAUCAUGGAAAUAAUACACUCAACAAAGAUGAUUUAACUAAUGAUGGCACAUUCUGCAACAUGGUGUCUUGCACAGAGCAUAGGGUAUCAAGAGAGUACUCUUUUAAUAUAAACCUUAG
rnacentral:misc_RNA from 1 species